UGACAGAGUGAGACUCUGUCUCAAAUAAAAUAAAAUAAAAUAAAAUAAAAUAAAAUAAAAUAAAAUAAAAUAAAAUAAAACCAGACGAUGGAGAAAUAAAUCUUCUCUUUUUAUUUUUCCACAAAGUAGAUCCUCCUGAACAAUACAAUCAAAUUAUCCACCAGCCUAAUUUUCCAGUAGAAAUUUAUAUGGCAAGAUUUUGGUAAUAUUUUAACAGUACACUGACAUGGUAUUUGACCAUGAUUGUGAUGCCCCUCUCCUUGAAAUUUUUAGAUCCUGUUUGAGUAAACCAUGGCCCAUACUUUUAAGAUAAGUGAUCUAAAAUAUCUUUAAGUGUUUUUGGAAAAGAAGUCAUUUGAAAAGGGAUUUUUUUAGGCUGGGCACAGUGGCUCACGCCUGUAAUCCCAGCAUGUUGGGAGGCCAAGGCGGGUGGAUCACAAGGUCAGGAGAUUAAGACCAUCCUGCUUAACCAGGUGAAGCCCUAUCUCUACUAAAAAUACAAAAAAUUAGCCAGGUGUGGUGGCACGUGCCUGUAGUCCCAGCUACUCGGGAGGCUCAGCAGGAGAAUCGCUUGAACCUGGGAGGCUGAGGUUGCAGUGAGCUGAGAUCGUGCCUCUGCACUUCAGUCUGAGCGACGGAGCGAGACUCCAUCUCAAAAAAAAGAAAAAGGAUUUUUUGGUUCCACAACACAGGCUUAGUUAAACAGUAGUAUAAAUUCUUACACAUGAUCUUGUGGUUCAUUUUCAAGAACAGAUUCAAAAAGUCAAGUACAUUCUAUGUGUGUUAGCAUUCCAGCAGCAGUCUCCAAGGGUCACACUUGGGAACAAGUUCUCCUGGGGUCCUGUAACCACCCAACGUGUUGACCUUGCGCACCGCUUAGACAGAGCCAAUUUAUCAGGAAAGGGAAAUUGCAAUGCAGAAAGAAUCAUUCACGCAGAGCCAGCUGUGCAGCAGACCUGGAGUUUUGUUAUUCAAAUCAGUCUCCCUGAGCAUUCAGGGAUCAGAGUUUUUAAAGAUAAUUUGGUGGGUAGGGGCUCAGGAAGUGGGGAGUGCUGAUUGGUUAGGUUGGAGAUAGAAUCAUAGUGGGGGUCAAAGUGAGGUUUGCUUGCUGUCUUCUGUUCCUGGGUAGGAUUGCAGAACUGGUUGAGCCAGAUUAAUAGUCUGGGUGGUGUCAGCUGGUCCAUCAAGUACAGGGUCUGCAAAAUAUUUCAAGCACCGAUCUUCAGUUUUACAAUAUUGAUGUUAUCCCCAUCAGCAAUUUGGGGAGAUUCAGACUCUUGCAGCCAGAGGCUGCAUGACUCUUAAACCAUAAUUUCUACUCUUGUAGCUAAUUUGUUAGUCCUACGAAGGCAGACUGGUCCCAAGGCAAAAAGGGGUUUUUUUUGGGGAAAGGGCUGCUAUCAAUUUUGUUUCAGAGUCAAAUCAUAAACUGAAUGCCUUCCCGAGGUUAGUUCAGCCUAUGCCCAGGAGUGAGCAAGGACAGCUUAAAAGAUAGAAGCAAGAUGGGGUCAGUUAGGUCUGAUCUCUUUCAAAGUCAUAAUUUCCUCAUUUAUAAUUUUUCAAAGGCAGUUUCAGUUUCAGCUUGGGUCUCAUGUUGGUUGGUACUCAUGGCCUGAUGUACCUCCAGAGCACAUGACCC
rnacentral:lncRNA from 1 species